UACGUAGGGUGCAAGCGUUGUCCGGAUUUAUUGGGCGUAAAGAGCUCGUAGGCGGCCAACUAAGUCAGACGUGAAAUCCCUCGGCUUAACCGGGGAACUGCGUCUGAUACUGGUUGGCUUGAAUCCGGGAGAGGGAUGUGGAAUUCCAGGUGUAGCGGUGAAAUGCGUAGAUAUCUGGAGGAAAACCGGUGGCGAAGGCGGCAUCCUGGACCGGUAUUGACGCUGAGGAGCGAAAGCCAGGGGAGCAAACGGG
rnacentral:rRNA from 1 species